rnacentral:rRNA from 1 species
GACGAACGCUGGCGGCGUGCUUAACACAUGCAAGUCGAACGGAAAGGCCCUGCUUUUGUGGGGUGCUCGAGUGGCGAACGGGUGAGUAACACGUGAGUAACCUGCCCUUGACUUUGGGAUAACUUCAGGAAACUGGGGCUAAUACCGGAUAGGAGCUCCUGCUGCAUGGUGGGGGUUGGAAAGUUUCGGCGGUUGGGGAUGGACUCGCGGCUUAUCAGCUUGUUGGUGGGGUAGUGGCUUACCAAGGCUUUGACGGGUAGCCGGCCUGAGAGGGUGACCGGCCACAGUGGGACUGGGAUACGGCCCAGACUCCUACGGGAGGCAGCAGUGGGGAAUAUUGCACAAUGGGUGGAAGCCUGAUGCAGCAACGCCGCGUGCGGGAUGACGGCCUUCGGGCUGUAAACCGCUUUCGCCUGUGACGAAGCGUGAGUGACGGUAAUGGGUAGAGAAGCACCGGCUAACUACGUG